CGACGUGAGGAACCUGCCUCAAAGAGGGGGACAACAGUUGGAAACGACUGCUAAUACCGCAUAAGCCCACGGCUCGGCAUCGAGCAGAGGGAAAAGGAGCAAUCCGCUUUGAGAUGGCCUCGCGUCCGAUUAGCUAGUAGGUGAGGUAACGGCUCACCUAGGCGACGAUACACAGCCGACCUGAGAGGGUGAUCGGCCACACUGGGACUGAGACACGGCCCAG
rnacentral:rRNA from 1 species